AUUGAACGCUGGCGGCAGGCCUAACACAUGCAAGUCGAGCGGAUGAAGGGAGCUUGCUCCUGGAUUCAGCGGCGGACGGGUGAGUAAUGCCUAGGAAUCUGCCUGGUAGUGGGGGAUAACGUCCGGAAACGGGCGCUAAUACCGCAUACGUCCUGAGGGAGAAAGUGGGGGAUCUUCGGACCUCACGCUAUCAGAUGAGCCUAGGUCGGAUUAGCUAGUUGGUGGGGUAAAGGCCUACCAAGGCGACGAUCCGUAACUGGUCGGAGAGGAUGAUCAGUCACACUGGAACUGAGACACGGUCCAGACUCUUACGGGAGGCAGCAGUGGGGAAUAUUGGACAAUGGGCGAAAGCCUGAUCCAGCCAUGCCGCGUGUGUGAAGAAGGUCUUCGGAUUGUAAAGCACUUUAAGUUGGGAGGAAGGGCAGUAAGUUAAUACCUUGCUGUUUUGACGUUACCAACAGAAUAAGCACCGGCUAACUUCGUG
rnacentral:rRNA from 1 species